rnacentral:rRNA from 1 species
UGAAGGUGGUUUGUGAAAACUGCUGGAGAUAUCGGAAGUGAGAAUGCUGACAUAAGUAGCGUAAAAGAGUGUGAAAAACACUCUCACCAAAAAUCUAAGGGUUCCUACGUUAAGUUAAUCUGCGUAGGGUUAGUCGGUUCCUAAGGCGAGUCCGUAAAGGAGUAGUCGAUGGCAAUUAGGUUAAUAUUCCUAAACCUCUUAAGUGUGACGGGUUUUGUAUUUGUAUAGGUCUUAUUGGAUUGAUCUAUGCUUAAAAGAAGCUCCAGGAAAUAGCACUUAUAUUUAUGAGGCCGUACCGUAAACCGACACUGGUGGAUGAGUAGAGUAUACUAAGGUGUUGAAAGAAUGAUGUUGAAGGAACUCGGCAAAUUAUACCUGUAACUUCGGAAGAAGGGUAACCUGCUUUUAGGCAACUAUGAGUAGGUGGCACAAAAUAGGGAGUAGCGACUGUUUACUAAAAACACAGGACUCUGCAAACACGUAAGUGGAAGUAUAGGGUCUGACGCCUGCCCGGUGCUGGAAGGUUAAUAGGAGGGGUGCAAGCUCUGAAUUGAAGCCCCAGUAAACGGCGGCCGUAACACUGACGGUCCUAAGGUAGCGAAAUUCCUUGUCGGGUAAGUUCCGACCCGCACGAAUGGCGUAACGAUUUCUCCACUGUCUCCAACAUCACUUCAGCGAAAUUGAAUUCCCCGUGCAGAUGCGGGGUACCCGCGGUUAGACGAAGAGACCCCGUGCACCUUUACUAUAGCUUUACAUUGCUAUUAAAAGUGUGAUGUGCAGGAUAGGUGGGAGACUUUGAAGUUAUGGCGCUAGCUAUAAUGGAGUCAA